GCCAGGCGUGGUGGCGGGCACCUGUAAUCCCAGCUACUCAGGAGGCUGAGGCAGGAGAAUUGCUUGAACCCAGGAGACGGAGGUUGCAGUGAGCUGACACAGUGCCACUGCACUCCAGCCUGGGUGACAGAGUAAGACUCUGUCUCAA
rfam:Pan troglodytes isolate Yerkes chimp pedigree #C0471 (Clint) chromosome 1, whole genome shotgun sequence.